AUGUACAAGGGGGAGAAAGGAGAGAGAGAGAGAGAGAGAGACAGAGAGAUAGAAAGGGGGGAGGGGAAAAAAAAGCUUCCUGGCUUUCCCCUCCUGCCCUGCAAAAGAGGCCCCAAGUCCCAACUGGCUUUCAGAAUCCAGACACAAGGAAUUUACACUCGGCCAGGCUUCUCAACGCCCGGAAAACAAGCUCAGCCUUUCCGAUCGCUGAGGUCCCUGGUUGUGCGGCUGGCAAACGAAGUCCCUUUUCGAAACCCAGUUAGCAAAAACCCUCAUCAAAGGAAAGAACUUCCUGUCUAGAGAGCACCGAGUGGAGCAUUGCAUUGCCCGGGUGUUUAUAAAAAUCAACUGGCGACGCGAAGGUAGGGGUGUGUUGUGAGGGGGGGGGAGAGACACACACAGAUACGCAACCUUCUGCAGCCCCCACCCCCUAAAGACCCCCAUCCGUACAGGGGAAAAAAAUAAUCUCCCCGCUCACUCCUGCGCGAAACGGAUGCACUUGGGAAGUGAGCGAUGCUUGACGCGCUCAUUUAAGGUUAUUGUUUUACACGCUUCCCCCCCAUACACACACAUGGAUCUAUGAAUGGAAACUGGAUUUGAUCAGAACGUGGGGAAAAGAUUGAGUGUUUCGAUAUACAGUAUUUCCGUCUGCAUUUGGGCGGGGGGGGAGGGCUGUGUGAAUUAUUUAAUAGCUAAAACAACGGUCGCUUUAAUUAUGGUGAACGAGCCCUCACACCCCGGGUCGUAGCCCGGUGCUGCUGCUUUUGAUGGCCAUGCGGUCGGAUCCUGGUCACUCAGUGGUGAAACCUACAGAGAUUCCCCGAGACUUGCUCCCGGGUCAGGCGCGCAUGCCGCCGCCGCCGCCACUUGCCCGAUCCUGGGGGCGCUUCGCAGGCACAGGAGCCCCACGGAACACGCGGGCACUUACUUCAGAGUAAACAAUGAAACCGGGGUGGUGGUGGUUCAUAAGGGGAGGGGAGGGGGCCAUGGAAGGCAAAGCGUGCCAUGGAAGGGAUUUUUGGCCUCUC
rnacentral:lncRNA from 1 species